UACGUAGGUGGCAAGCGUUAUCCGGAUUCACUGGGCGUAAAGCGCCUGUAGGUGGACGAACAAGUCGGCUGUGAAAGCCUCGGGCUUAACCCGGGGAGGCCAGGCGAUACUGUUUGACUUGAGGGUGACAGAGGGGAGUGGAAUUCCCGGUGUAGCGGUAAAAUGCGCAGAUAUCGGGAGGAACACCAGUGGCGAAGGCGGCUCCCUAGGUCAUACCUGACACUGAGAGGCUAAAGCUAGGGGAGUAAACAGG
rnacentral:rRNA from 1 species